rnacentral:rRNA from 1 species
GACGAACGCUGGCGGCAUGCCUAACACAUGCAAGUCGAACGGUGACUUCGGAGUUUGCUGUGCUGGAUUAGUGGCGAACGGGUGAGUAACAUGUGAGCUAUCUGCCCCUGACUCUGGGAUAAGCGCUGGACACGGCGUCUAAUACUGGAUACGAGUUGUGAAGGCAUCUUCAGCAGCCGGCAAGAAUUUCGGUUAGGGAUGAGACCGCGGCCUAUCAGCUUGUUGGUGAGGUAAUGUGUCACCAAGGCGUCGACAGGUAGCCGGCCUGGGAGGGUGACCGGCCACGCUGGGACGGGGACGCGGCCCGGACUCCAACGCGAGGCAACGCAGCAGUAUGUUGCACUGUGGACGAGAGCCUGGUGCAGCGAAGCCGCGUGGGGUGCAUCAGCCUGCUGUUUGGAAACCACUUUUAUCAGGGAAGAGGCGAAAAUGACGGUACCUGCAGAAGAAGCGCCGGCUAACUACGUG